rnacentral:snRNA from 1 species
AGCUUUGCGCAGUGGCAGUAUCACAGCCAAUGAGGUUUACUCGAGGAGUGAUUAUUGCUAAUUGAAAAACU